GAGACUGGCGAUGAUCCUGGCUUUGUCUCCACUCCUCACGUACCCCUGUCCUAUACCAAGCCCCUGCUUCCUUCCCCGGGUACUGCGUUGAUCUGCCAGGCUGGCCCGGACAUUUGUAGCCCAGCGUGGGGCCCGGGUACGAGGAAGAACUACAGAGGGAGAAGACGCCCGAAAAAGAAGCUAUAGCUCAGGAGGAAGCCUUACCGACGUGGGACCCUGCUGCGUCGUGGAUAAGCAUGGUGACCGCUUCCUGGCUCAUCCUCUGUGCUGAGGUGUUACUUUUCUCCUCGGCCUUCGCCGGCUUUGGAGACACAGGCCAACUGAUGUCCUUGACUGAAGCACUGUACGGAAAUCCCCUGCAAGUCGGCCACUGGCCUCUACCUUGCUGACCACCUGUGGUGCUAACAAAAAGGAGAAAUGCUGUUUCUACGCCAACAAAUCAGGAAUCGUCCACAAUAAAAUCCGACAGUUACAAGAUGACCUGGAAAGAAGACACCAGGACCUAGCUGAAAACCCACUCUGGACCGGUCUCAACGGACUCUUACCCUACCUUCUUGCCCUCAUGGGUCCCCUAUUAACCCUUUUGAUAUUGGUUGUCAUGGGUCCUUGCAUUUUUAACAGGAUAAUCUCUUUUGUAAGACAACAGAUUCAGGCCCUUCAGGCAAAACCCAUUCAGGUACAUUACCAUAAGUUGGAGAUGCGAGAUAAGGGAGGCUCUUACUCAGACAUAUGCUCAGUCUGAAGAAAUAAGACCCCCUUCCCCUGUGCGAUGGACUGGUCAGCCAAUGACGGGUAAGAUCGGGGGCAUACUCAAAAUGGCUUGAGGUGACAGGCGCAUUCCCCGAGGGGUUUUGUCUUUUCGCUCUCCCAUCAGAAAUAAUACAAAAGGAGGAUCUGUCUGGGCCCAGACCUGGGGCCCAGACCUGAACAUCCAGGUUCUUGCCUGAAGCAGGUACUGAAUGUUAGCUCCAGUGAAGGUUUCAAGUUUCCUAUUGUGACUGAACCCUUCCCCCUGCUUGCUCCUUGUGGCUUGUUUGCAUUGGUGGUCUUGUUGUAGAGCAACCCUGAUACAAAACGGGGUGCCUGACUGUGGGUCCUCACCCGCGCGCUUAAAAGGACUUAUCAAUGCUCUACUGCAGGCACACGUGAAAGGUUAAUAAAAGGUUUAUUUACAAGGGAAGGGGAAAUGAGGAAAUGUACAGCUCUGGGAGAAAAGUGGGAGACAAAGUUUUAAAUGAGUCCUACCCGAUCCACCGAUCAGGAAUCCCAAAAUGGCGCUCUCAGAGUUGGCCGCCAGCCAGGAGCGAUGAGGCCAGGAGGCGAGCGAUCGCGAGCCAGCGAGACCCCAAGGCCCACGUGUUUGGUUUUUAUAUCCAACCUGGCUGCCCAACUCCACCCUCAGGUCCCAGCCACCCUCCCUUUGGUGGUGAUGGGAUUUGUCUUUCCCAAUGUCUUGAUGGCUAUAGUCUGGAGUGGGGGUGGGGUCCACAAAGCCUGUAUGGGAUUAGCUCAGGACAUCAUUUCCCCCUAACAGUCUCUCCUUGUUAGAGAUAACAAGAGACCUCCUCCUCUGAACCCUAUAUAACCUUGUACACAUUCCUGAAUAAAUGAGACUGGCAAUGAUCCUGGCUUUGUCUCCACUCCUUGCGUACCCCUGUCCUAUACCAAGCCCCUGCUUCCUCCCCCG